UCAGCAAAGUGGUUGUGUCUUAUGAGAUCCAUGAACAUAUCACAGCCAGCUUUGUUGACU
rnacentral:pre_miRNA from 1 species